rnacentral:rRNA from 1 species
UGGCUCAGGACGAACGCUGGCGGCACGCUUAACACAUGCAAGUCGAACGAGCGAAAGGUGCUUGCACCUCUAGCUAGUGGCGGACGGGUGAGUAACACGUGAGCAAUCUGCCUUUCGGUGGGGGAUACCAAUUGGAAACGAUUGUUAAUACCCCAUAACAUAACGAAGCCGCAUGACUUUGUUAUCAAAGAUUUAUUGCCGGAAGAUGAGCUCGCGUCUGAUUAGGUAGUUGGUGAGGUAACGGCUCACCAAGCCGACGAUCAGUAGCCGGACUGAGAGGUUGAACGGCCACAUUGGGACUGAGACACGGCCCAGAUUCCUACGGGAGGCAGCAGUGGGGAAUAUUGCACAAUGGGCGAAAGCCUGAUGCAGCGAUGCCGCGUGAGGGAAGAAGGUUUUAGGAUUGUAAACCUCUGUCUUUGGGGACGAUAAUGACGGUACCCAAGGAGGAAGCUCCGGCUAACUACGUGCCGGCAGCCGCGGUAAUACGUAGGGAGCGAGCGUUGUCCGGAAUUACUGGGUGUAAAGGGAGCGUAGGCGGGAUGCAAGUCAGGUGUGAAAUUUAGGGGCUUAACCCCUGAACUGCACUUGAAACUGUAGUUCUUGAGUGAAGUAGAGGUAAGCGGAAUUCCUAGUGUAGCGGUGAAAUGCGUAGAUAUUAGGAGGAACAUCAGUGGCGAAGGCGGCUUACUGGGCUUUAACUGACGCUGAGGCUCGAAAGCGUGGGGAGCA